GCGACAAUACUAGCCUCUCUUUCUCCAAGACAAAAAGCUGAAUUGCUUCUUGAACCAAACAAUUUCACAAAUGAGACCCUUGUGAGACAAACAUUCACGCAACUGACUGUUUCAUCACGUGUGGAGGAACUUGGUUCUUUCUUUGAGAAAUUUGUUAGCGGUGCUGCAGAGCAAAACCUGACAACCAUUGAUCCAAGAGUGCGUGACACCGUGCUAAAUCUGACACUAAUGGCGCUUGGAUCAAAAGUAUCCAUGCUAAAUGCUGAGGGAUUCAAGUUGUGGUUUCAGGUCUACCUACCUCUAUUCCUCCCAAGCAUUGACUCAACCACCUUUGAAAUUAUUCCAAGAAAUAUCAGCUGUGACUCCUAUCAAGAGAUGUGAGUGAAAACUCUAUUUUUCUUUUUGUCAAAAUAACCACAAGGGUUGUGGAAUUUACAUAGAAAAUUCAACUUUCUUUUACACAUUUUGGUAAAUGAAAGAAUUUUAAUUCCCUUCACAGUGUCAAGGGGUGCGACAAUGUUUUCACUCAUCUCUCUGUGAGGCAGACCAAACAGGUUUUCACCUUCACAAUGGACUAUCUUGGGAGACAUUCCUCCUCUGGUAACUUGGAUAGUAAAAUAGCAUAACAUUACAUGUCAAGUACUUUUGUGUCUUGAUUAUGUCUGAUUCCACAUUUCUGUGUUUGAUACUGAAUGUUCAUUUUAAAGAGUCAUUAUUUUGAUUCCUAGGUCUCUCCUGUGUUGAAUCUGUAAAUGAUGAUAGACAAUGGCUCGAGGAAAACUUUGGUCGGUUCCGUUUGCAUGCCUCCUAUAUAGAUUUUGUCACUUUGAAGAGGAAUUUCAAUGGAGUGGCAGUUGCAGAGCUUCUCACUCUCAGUCAGCUCACCCAGCUUGCAGCAACUCCCUCACAGCUGCAAAGGAUGCAAGAUGUGACAAAAAUAAUGACAGUCAUCAACCCUGUUGACUUUAGUGCUUUCUUUGACAUAGUCUCGACAGCCAUUGAGAUCCAUCCAGCCAACUACACAGAAGAGGUAAAGUCUGCCUUCCUCCAGGCAGUUAUCAACAGAGGGAAUUUGUCCUCUGUCGCCAUCAAUGACACAGAGUUCCAGCUGUGGCUCAGGGUUCGACUGAGCCCCCUCCUGGUUGACCUCUCUCCCAGCCUGGUGACACCUUUAUUUGACAUCGGGAAGAACAGGAGUUGUAACAGCAGUCAAGAGAUAAUUGCAAUGCUGGACACACUACACUUGACACUAAGCAACGACACCGAAAGAGAGGUCUACAAAAACACUCUCCUCUUCCUACAAGGCCCAAUGCCCCUAAAGUGUUACAGUGGUGGAAGCUUCUACACCUAUCUAAGAAACACUUUCCUCAGCUUUGGCUUUCCCGAUUUGUCCACGUUCAUCUCUCUCCUGCCACAGACGCGCGAGUCAGAGCUCUUAAGUACCAUCAGCAGCUCAGAGUUGCGUCAAUUCCUCAGUCAACCUAAUGUGAUUGGGAACAACUCUGACAUAUGUGUCAUCUUCAACAACUACAACAACACUCCUGCCUUCCUAGAAACCGAGGAUGUUCCAGAUGAUGUGAAGAUGGUGAUCCUCCCCUGUGUUUGGUCUUUGGCGCUGAGUAGCAACAGCAGAUCAGAGGCUGAUUCCUGGUUUGACCUGCGGUUGAGGAACUAUCUUAGAUUCCUCAGCAAGAGCCUCAUAAGCCCAGUCAAAGUGCAGAAUGCUUCAUGUCACGCCUUCCAGAAACUGGUCGCUGUAUUGGGAAAUAACUUCACAUACAACAGCUCUGAGUUUGGACAGAGUGAUGUGUACACCACUGUCAAGACCUACUUGAGGAAUGGCACAGAUGCCACGAAUGGAGUCAGAUGCUACAAUGCCAGUGAUGCAGAACUCAAUUCUACUGCCUGGUUUGUCAAUAACAUCGGCAGCUUUGUGAAGUUUAUCACUUUGGAUGACCUCACCUCCUUCGUCUCAACCAGUCAAGUAUGUCCUGAUAUCAGUUAUGAUAGUAAUGCUCAAACAUGAACAAAAUGAAGAAAUUGUUUAUUUAAUUAGACUAGCCAAAG
rnacentral:lncRNA from 1 species